rnacentral:rRNA from 1 species
UACGUAUGAGGCGAGCGUUGUUCGGAAUUAUUGGGUGUAAAGGGCGUCUAGGCGGGGGAUUAAGUUAGGUGUGAAAGCCGUGAGCUCAACUCACGAAUUGCAUCUAAAACUGGUUCUCUUGAGUUCGGAAGAGGAGAGCGGAAUUCCCGGUGUAGCGGUGAAAUGCGUAGAUAUCGGGAAGAACACCAGUGGCGAAGGCGGCUCUCUGGUCUAGAACUGACGCUGAAGCGCGAAAGUGUGGGGAGCAAACAGG